AACAAACGCUGGCGGCACGCCUAACACAUGCAAGUCGAACGAGAUCUUCGGGUCUAGUGGCGCACGGGUGCGUAACGCGUGGGAAUCUGCCCUUUGGUUCGGAAUAACAGUUGGAAACGACUGCUGAUACCGGAUGAUGACGAAAGUCCAAAGAUUUAUCGCCAGAGGAUGAGCCCGCGUAGGAUUAGCUAGUUGGUGUGGUAAAGGCGCACCAAGGCGACGAUCCUUAGCUGGUCUGAGAGGAUGAUCAGCCACACUGGGACUGAGACACGGCCCAGACUCCUACGGGAGGCAGCAGUGGGGAAUAUUGGACAAUGGGCGAGAGCCUGAUCCAGCAAUGCCGCGUGAGUGAUGAAGGCCUUAGGGUUGUAAAGCUCUUUUACCCGGGAUGAUAAUGACAGUACCGGGAGAAUAAGCUCCGGCUAACUCCGUGCCAGCCGCCGCCGUAAAAC
rnacentral:rRNA from 1 species